UUAGGGAGACCUUACCCGCUCUGCGCUGAUGUUUCCGUAUAGACUUUGCAGAUGAUGCGGAGUUUGUAUGGGGACAAAGAAGGCGAGAGAGCUGGUUAUCCCAAGGUCGAGCAGGGAAGAGUGAAGCUGACUUCCAAACUACACCAGGUUGAAUAGCAAACGGCUAAGCGAGUCUAGGGAUUAGUGAUAGUUGUUUUGUUUGAGGAAGUAUUUCAGCAAUUGUUCUAGCGAAGGAGUUAGACAAGAUGCUGGAAUAGAUUCCAGUGAGGCACCUUGAAAACUGCAUAGUAGAAGAAGUCAGGUAGAAGGGACUGAGACUUAUUCAGAGCGACGAGCGAGGACAACGAAGGCUUGCGAGAGACAAGUUGUCUGGAGUGAAGGAGUGAUGAGUAAGGAGCAGUCAAGAAAACAGACAUUUUAAGAGAGAA
rnacentral:misc_RNA from 1 species